AUGAACGCUGGCGGCGUGCUUAACACAUGCAAGUCGAACGAAGCACUUUAUUUGAUUUCCUUCGGGACUGAUUAUUUUGUGACUGAGUGGCGGACGGGUGAGUAACGCGUGGGUAACCUGCCUUGUACAGGGGGAUAACAGUUGGAAACGGCUGCUAAUACCGCAUAAGCGCACAGCAUCGCAUGAUGCAGUGUGAAAAACUCCGGUGGUAUAAGAUGGACCCGCGUUGGAUUAGCUAGUUGGUGAGGUAACGGCCCACCAAGGCGACGAUCCAUAGCCGACCUGAGAGGGUGACCGGCCACAUUGGGACUGAGACACGGCCCAAACUCCUACGGGAGGCAGCAGUGGGGAAUAUUGCACAAUGUGCGAAAGCCUGAUGCAGCGACGCCGCGUGAGCGAAGAAGUAUUUCGGUAUGUAAAGCUCUAUCAGCAGGGAAGAUAAUGACGGUACCUGACUAAGAAGCACCGGCUAAAUACGUG
rnacentral:rRNA from 1 species